rnacentral:rRNA from 1 species
ACUUUGAUUAUGGCUCGGGACGAACGCUGGCGGCGCGCCUAACACAUGCAAGUCGAGCGGGAAGCUUUUUAAGGAUUCUUCGGAUGAAUUAAAAAGUGGAGAGCGGCGGACGGGUGAGUAACGCGUGAGAAACCUGCCCUAUACAGGGGGGAUAGCCAUUGGAAACGAUGAUUAAUACCCCAUAUGACCACAGUAUCGCAUGAUACAGCGGUGAAAACUCCGGCGGUAUAGGAUGGUCUCGCGUCUGAUUAGCUAGUUGGUGGGGUAACGGCCUACCAAGGCGACGAUCAGUAGCCGGCCUGAGAGGGUGACCGGCCACACUGGAACUGAGACACGGUCCAGACUCCUACGGGAGGCAGCAGUGGGGAAUAUUGCACAAUGGGCGAAAGCCUGAUGCAGCGACGCCGCGUGAACGAUGAAGGCUUUCGAGUCGUAAAGUUCUGUUCUUGGGGAAAAUACCGACGGUACCCAAGGAGAAAGCCCCGGCUAAAUACGUGCCAGCAGCCGCGGUA